UAUCAAUUUCUAGGUUGUUGACUUUACAAAAAGUCAAAUAUAAUAUUAUCAACUGUGUGGCUUAUGGUACAAUUCAUUUGUCAACGGGAAAACAAAGCAUUCAUGGAGUUCCACUACAAGAUAAUUGCUAUAGAGUUUCUAUUGAUAAAGUUGUAAAAGAAGCAGCAUUUUUACCGGUAGAAUCAUGUGAGGUCAAAACAGUUGGGGAUGCACUAAAUACUUUUGUUGCUUGGCCAAAAUACCUUGUCAAAACUAGCCAAAAGAUACCAAAUCUAUCAAGCAUUCAAACACAAAACUCUACAACUCAAGUCGCUAAAAAGCAAAAGAUAUGUUUUACAACGCUAGAUGGCAU